rnacentral:rRNA from 1 species
UAACGCGUGGGUAACCUGCCUCAUACAGGGGGAUAGCAGCUGGAAACGGCUGAUAAAACCGCAUAAGCGCACAGUAUCGCAUGAUGCAGUGUGAAAAACUCCGGUGGUAUGAGAUGGACCCGCGUCUGAUUAGCUGGUUGGUGAGGUAACGGCCCACCAAGGCGACGAUCAGUAGCCGGCCUGAGAGGGUGACCGGCCACAUUGGGACUGAGACACGGCCCAA